GUUACGCUAACACUUGUUCUUGUGUGCACACGAGUGUGUCUGAUGCUGGAUCUUUACAGUCAUGGUCAGGUGCCUCGCAUCAUUCACAGAGGUAGGGAAGUAGGUAGGUAGGUAAUGAUAUAAUAAGUUAGAAGCAGUCAACCUUUAAAUAUGUAGUUCAAAGAAGACCCUAUUUUAAAAUGUCCACAUGACAUUGAUUAGUUCGUUUAGUUGACUGUAAAAUGUUUAGGAGGUGAAGUAAUUUAAGACUAUAAAUGAAAUGGUUCAUACUCGCAUGUAUGUAGUUAGUAUGCCUGCCUGUCUUAGUUAAGGUUUUGUUGUGAAGAGACACCAUGCUCUCUUCAACUCUUACAAAGGAAAACAUUUAAUUGGUGCUGGCUUACAGUACAUACUUAGUCCAUUACCGUUAUGGAGAGAAGCAUGGCAGCACAUGGGACUGGAGAGGUAGCUAAGAGUUCUACAUCUUGAUCUGAAGGUAGCAGGAAUAGAACUGUGAGCCCAUGGACCUGGACUUGAACAUCCAAAAUCUCAGAUCUUGCACUCACAGUGACAAACUUCCUCCAACAAGGCCACACCUCCUAAUAGUGCUACUCCCUAUGAGCCAAGCAUUCACACACAUGAGCCUAUGGCUGCCAUUCCUUUUCAAACCACCACACCGCCUCCCUUUCUCUUCCCGUUCUGUUAUCCUCCUAAUUCCAUGAUGGUUCCAGGUACUUCCUUUAACAUUCUCAUAGCCUCUCUUCAAAAAAAAAAAAAAAAAAAAAAAAAAAACUUUGCAUUCAUUAUUUCUUUCCUAUUUAAGCAAAGAUGUCAGUAAUAUUUUAGUGCCAGAAAUAUAGACAGGCUUUCCUUCUUCUAAGAGGCCAAGUCCCCUUCAUUUUAGAAUUCAUGGUGAAUACUUGUCUUUGAUAAAAUCAUCUUGGAUCUUUGUAUUUAAAUCUUAUUUUGGAGCUAAGUGAGAUAUAUUUAGAAUCUUUGAUGUGGCACUAAACCCAGAGGACUCUAGGUGACCUGUUUGGAUUUUGAGGCCAAGUAGAUUGAAUCUAUAAAAUUAUUACAGGUCAGUCAGUGUCUAUUCUGAGUGAUUUAUAAUAUACUGCAGUCCAACUAAGUUAAGGAGAAAAUAAUAGGGAAUUCUGAGUACUAAAUAGAGGGAGAUAUAUACAUAUAUAUAUAUAUAUAUAUAUAUAAAAUAAAGUAGUCAUUAUUUUUAUAAAGGAAAAAGGGAGGACUUGUAAGGCGUCAGUCUUAGUGGGUCUGAGUGUAUCGUGUGUCCUUCCUGCUGACACACGAUGGAGCUGAGAGACACACUGCUGCACUGGAAGCUACAGAGUCCUGUUAACACUUAGCACCCACCAGCAGUGGUGUGCCUGUCCUGCCCCUUACUCUACUCCCCUUUCUCUGCAGUGGAAAUAUCAGCCAGAAUAAAAGGUGGAAAAUUGUUCAUGUUAAAAUAUAGCCAACAGAAAGCGCUGUGGUGAAUUGGUUUAAGCUUUGCUCUGCCUUCCUGGAUUCCUGACGUUUCUCUUAUACCCUGGAUACUUUCCAAGUGGGAAUGGAAUAUAAAACCUUUUUAUUUAGAUCUCCAUUUCUAUGCUAUGUAUAGAACACUUGUUCAAUUCUCUUACGUUUUAUAUUAAAACCACCAUGAACCCUUUAUUUGUAUAGUGUCCUUUGACAGUUUGGCUUUCCCUUCAUGCAGUGUAUUCCAUAAUAAAUAAGCUUGUAUCGAUGUCUCUUUAAUACACACAAAUUUGUAUGCUACACAGAAAUCCCAUGACUCCAGUUGAGUAAAUGAUGAGAAUAUGUUUGUAUUGAAUU
rnacentral:lncRNA from 1 species